UAUAUAUAUAUAUAUAUAUAUAUAUAUAUAUAUAUAUAUAUAUAUAUAUAUAUAUAUAUAUAUAUAUAUAUAUAUAUAGAGAGAGAGAGAGAGAGAGAGAGAGAGAGAAUACUAAUAUAAUUUGAUCUUAUUGUGUAAUGUGAGUGCUAAGAGAGGAAAGCAAAGUCCUGUCUAAGUACUGUUUGGUGAGCUGAGUUGAGAGUAGGUUUGAGGGAGGCCAAUUAGGUUUGAUAUAAGUUUUGAAAGCAUCAAAAGUUAAAUGUUGCACAGUGAAGAGCAAGGCCAUAGCAGGUUAGAAGUGGCAUUUAUUUGUAAGUGCUAUAGUGGGGUGUAGGGUGAGUUAGGGAGAGAUCGUACAUGAGGAUGUAACGUACAAACGCUCCCGUGAGCUUAUUUAUGAAAAUAGCGAAGUUAGUGACUAAUCAGCCGAGAAAGAAAACGGAGGCGCACAGCUGACACCCGCUAUUAAUGCUCCACGCCGCGCGCUGUCAUGACCAGAUGGAGGAAAUACUGAGCUAAAACAGGUGAAGGGGAUUAUGUUUACUCCAUUGCCAGCACCCACCCCUAGAUUGAAGCGAUUCAUCAGAUUCCAGCACUCUGGCAUCCUACAAUGUUAAGGAGGCCUGCCUUCAUGUCUUUGUAGGGUAGACCAACCCUAUAUGGUACUUUUGUACUGCAGAAAAACAUGUCAGUGGAAUGAAAGAUUGUUUAAUUUUAUUUUGAUGAUCCUCAGUGGUUGAAAAAAAUCUUCAAUUUACUGAAUAUCAACAUUUAUUACUUUGUCAUCCUAUAAGCAUUAGAAUUAUGAUUUCUUUUAUUAUGUUUAAGCAGUGUGAUGUGUAGGAUGACCUGCUGUGAUUCAAACAAUUUGAUACUGAAUAUUUUUGUACUUUUUUUGUACAAUAUAGUUUGAUGAAUAACCUUUCA